GACGAACGCUGGCGGCGUGCUUAACACAUGCAAGUCGAACGGAAAGGCCCUGCUUUUGUGGGGUGCUCGAGUGGCGAACGGGUGAGCAACACGUGAGUAACCUGCCCUUGACUUUGGGAUAACUUCAGGAAAUUGGGGCUAAUACCGGAUAGGAGCUCCUGCUGCAUGGUGGGGGUUGGAAAGUUUCGGCGGUUGGGGAUGGACUCGCGGCUUAUCAGCUUGUUGGUGGGGUAGUGGCUUACCAAGGCUUUGACGGGUAGCCGGCCUGAGAGGGUGACCGGCCACAUUGGGACUGAGAUACGGCCCAGACUCCUACGGGAGGCAGCAGUGGGGAAUAUUGCACAAUGGGCGGAAGCCUGAUGCAGCAACGCCGCGUGCGGGAUGACGGCCUUCGGGUUGUAAACCGCUUUCGCCUGUGACGAAGCGUGAGUGACGGUAAUGGGUAAAGAAGCACCGGCUAACUACGUG
rnacentral:rRNA from 1 species